rnacentral:snoRNA from 1 species
UCCUCCUACAAAGGCACGUCUGUGGCUCCCUGUCCUUGGACCUGUAAGAACUGGAGGCAAAGAAUCAGAGAAGUCAGGAGCCCGUUUGCUCCCGCAGGCUCAAGGUCAUCCUGCCCACACAG